rnacentral:rRNA from 1 species
ACUAGCAUAUCAAUAAGCGGAGGAAAAGAAACCAACAGGGAUUGCCCUAGUAACGGCGAGUGAAGCGGCAACAGCUCAAAUUUGAAAUCUGGCCUCGGCCCGAGUUGUAAUUUGCAGAGGAUGCUUCUGGCGCGGUGCCUUCCGAGUUCCCUGGAACGGGACGCCACAGAGGGUGAGAGCCCCGUAUGGUCGGACACCAAGCCUGUGUGAAGCUCCUUCGACGAGUCGAGUAGUUUGGGAAUGCUGCUCUAAAUGGGAGGUAAAUCUCUUCUAAAGCUAAAUACCGGCCAGAGACCGAUAGCGCACAAGUAGAGUGAUCGAAAGAUGAAAAGCACCUUGAAAAGGGGGUUAAAUAGUACGUGAAAUUGUUGAAAGGGAAGCACUUAUGACCAGACUUGGGCCGGGCGGCUCAUCAGGGGUUCUCCCCUGUGCACUCCGCCCGGCACAGGCCAGCAUCGGUUCUCGUGGGGGGAUAAGACCGUCAGGAACGUAGCACCCUCCGGGGUGUGUUAUAGCCUGGCGGACGAUACCCCCGUGGGGACCGAGGUCCGCGCAUUGCAAGGAUGCUGGCGUAAUGGUCAUCAGUGACCCGUCUUGAAACACGGACCAAGGAGUCGUCCAUUAGAGCGAGCGUUUGGGUGUAAAACCCGCACGCGUAAUGAAAGUGAACGCAGGUGAGAGCUUCGGCGCAUCAUCGACCGAUCCUGAUGUUCUCGGAAGGAUUUGAGUAAGAGUUUUAACGGACGGACCCGAAAGACAGUGAACUAUGCUUGAAUAGGGUGAAGCCAGAGGAAACUCUGGUGGAGGCUCGCAGCGGUUCUGACGUGCAAAUCGAUCGUCAAAUUUGAGCAUGGGGGCGAAAGACUAAUCGAACUGUCUAGUAGCUGGUUACCGCCGA